AUUUAUAUAGUAUAAAAGUAUAUAUGACUUCCAAUCAUAAGGUUUAAUUAAUUAAAUUAAUAUAAAUA
rnacentral:tRNA from 1 species